rnacentral:ncRNA from 1 species
CUCUUAUCAAGAGUGGUGGAGGGAAUAGGCCCUUUGAAACCCGGCAACCUAAAAGCAAUAAUGAUUUGCUUUUUACGGUGCUAAAUCCUACAGACCUUAGAAAUGGUCUGGAAGAUAAGAG